rnacentral:rRNA from 1 species
GACGAACGCUGGCGGCGUGCUUAACACAUGCAAGUCGAACGGUGAACCUCUUCGGAGGGGAUCAGUGGCGAACGGGUGAGUAACACGUGGGCAACCUGCCCCCGGCUCUGGGAUAACUCCAAGAAAUUGGGGCUAAUGCCGGAUGUUCACCGCUUCCCGCAUGGGUGGUGGUGGAAAGGGUUUCCGGCUGGGGAUGGGCCCGCGGCCUAUCAGCUUGUUGGUGGGGUAGUGGCCUACCAAGGCGACGACGGGUAGCCGGCCUGAGAGGGUGACCGGCCACACUGGGACUGAGACACGGCCCAGACUCCUACGGGAGGCAGCAGUGGGGAAUAUUGCGCAAUGGGCGGAAGCCUGACGCAGCGACGCCGCGUGGGGGAUGACGGCCUUCGGGUUGUAAACCUCUAUCAGCAGGGACGAAGCGCAAGUGACGGUACCUGCAGAAGAAGCACCGGCCAACUACGUG